rnacentral:rRNA from 1 species
UGGGGAAUAUUGGACAAUGGGCGCAAGCCUGAUCCAGCAAUGCCGCGUGGGUGAAGAAGGUCUUCGGAUUGUAAAGCCCUUUCGACGGGGACGAUGAUGACGGUACCCGUAGAAGAAGCCCCGGCUAACUUCGUGCCAGCAGCCGCGGUAAUACGAAGGGGGCUAGCGUUGCUCGGAAUUACUGGGCGUAAAGGGCGCGUAGGCGGCCCCUCAAGUCAGGCGUGAAAUUCCCGGGCUCAACCUGGGGACUGCGCUUGAGACUGGGGGGCUAGAGGCCGAGAGAGGGUGGUGGAAUUCCCAGUGUAGAGGUGAAAUUCGUAGAUAUUGGGAAGAACACCGGUGGCGAAGGCGGCCACCUGGCUCGGUACUGACGCUGAGGCGCGACAGCGUGGGGAGCAAACAGG